rnacentral:rRNA from 1 species
UACGUAGGCAGCAAGCGUUGUUCGGAAUUACUGGGCGUAAAGAGUGUGUAGGCGGUGCUCUAAGUUCGGUGUGAAAUCUCCCGGCUCAACUGGGAGGGUGCGCCGGAAACUGGGGUGCUGGAGCGCGGGAGAGGAAAGCGGAAUUCCUGGUGUAGCGGUGAAAUGCGUAGAUAUCAGGAGGAGCACCGGCGGUGUAGACGGCUUUCUGGACCGUAGCUGACGCUGAGACACGAAAGCGUGGGUAGCAAACAGG